rnacentral:rRNA from 1 species
CAGAGACUGCAAGCGUUAUUCGGAUUCACUGGGCGUAAAGGGUGCGCAGGCGGCCAAGUGUGUGAGGCGUGAAAGCCCGGGGCUUAACCCCGGAAUUGCACCUCAAACUACAUGGCUAGAGCAUUGGAGAGGGUAGCAGAAUUCAUGGUGUAGCAGUGAAAUGCGUAGAUAUCAUGAGGAAUACCAGAGGCGAAGGCGGCUACCUGGACAAUUGCUGACGCUCAGGCACGAAAGCGUGGGGAGCAAAAGGGAUUAGAUACCCCUGUAGUCCACGCCCUAAACGGUGCACACUAGGUCUUGGCGGAUUCGACCCCCCCAGGGCCCCAGCUAACGCGUUAAGUGUGCCGCCUGAGGACUACGGCCGCAAGGCUA